GUGAGGAAUUUUCCGCAAUGGGCGAAAGCCUGACGGAGCAAUGCCGCGUGAAGGAUGAAGGCCUAUGGGUUGAAAACUUCUUUUCUCAGAAAAGAAUUAUGACGGUAUCUGAGGAAUAAGCAUCGGCUAACUCUGUGCCAGCAGCCGUGGUAAGACAGAGGAUGCAAGCGUUAUCCGGAAUGAUUGGGCGUAAAGCGUCUGUAGGUUGUUUAAAAAGUAUUCUGUCAAAGAUUAGGGCUUAACCCUAGAUAGGCAGAAUAAACUUUUAAGCUAGAGUUUGGUAGAGGCAGAGGGAAUUCCCGGUGGAGCGGUGAAAUGCGUAGAUAUCGGGAGGAACACCAAAGGCGAAGGCACUCUGCUGGGCCAAUACUAACACUGAGAGACGAAAGCGAGGGGAGCAAAUGGGAUUAGAAACCCCGGUAGUCC
rnacentral:rRNA from 1 species